rnacentral:rRNA from 1 species
AGCCGUAAGGCGAAGCUCCUGAUCGAAGCCCCAGUAAACGGCGGCCGUAACUAUAACGGUCCUAAGGUAGCGAAAUUCCUUGUCGGGUAAGUUCCGACCUGCACGAAUGGCGUAAUGAUGGCCAGGCUGUCUCCACCCGAGACUCAGUGAAAUUGAACUCGCUGUGAAGAUGCAGUGUACCCGCGGCAAGACGGAAAGACCCCGUGAACCUUUACUAUAGCUUGACACUGAACAUUGAGCCUUGAUGUGUAGGAUAGGUGGGAGGCUUUGAAGUGUGGACGCCAGUCUGCAUGGAGCCAACCUUGAAAUACCACCCUUUAACGUUUGAUGUUCUAACCUAGGCCCAUAAACUGGGUCGGGGACCGUGUCUGGUGGGUAGUUUGACUGGGGCGGUCUCCUCCUAAAGAGUAACGGAGGAGCACGAAGGUUGGCUAAGCAUGGUCGGACAUCAUGCGGUUAGUGCAAAGGCAUAAGCCAGCUUGACUGCGAGAGUGACGGCUCGAGCAGGUACGAAAGUAGGUCUUAGUGAUCCGGUGGUUCUGAAUGGAAGGGCCAUCGCUCAACGGAUAAAAGGUACUCCGGGGAUAACAGGCUGAUACCGCCCAAGAGUUCAUAUCGACGGCGGUGUUUGGCACCUCGAUGUCGGCUCAUCACAUCCUGGGGCUGAAGUAGGUCCCAAGGGUAUGGCUGUUCGCCAUUUAAAGUGGUACGCGAGCUGGGUUUAGAACGUCGUGAGACAGUUCGGUCCCUAUCUGCCGUGGGCGUUGGAAGAUUGAGAGGGGUUGCUCCUAGUACGAGAGGACCGGAGUGAACGCACCACUGGUGUUCGGGUUGUCAUGCCAAUGGCAUUGCCCGGUAGCUAAGUGCGGAAGAGAUAACCGCUGAAAGCAUCUAAGCGGGAAACUUGCCUCGAGAUGAGUCUUCCCUGUCACUUUAAGUGACCUAAAGGAACGUUUAAGACUAAGACGUUGAUAGGCUGGGUGUGUAAGCGUAGCGAUACGUUGAGCUAACCAGUACUAAUGAACCGUGAGGCUUAACCUG